AUCUUGCUCUGGGCCCUUCUCCCCAUGCUGGGUGCCGUCCAGCUCCUGCAUCACAACAGCUCAGUGGGCAUCGGUUUGGAGAGAGACGAAUGCCUGUCAAAGUGGUGUGGGGCAAAAUCAAGAUCCAGGCGGGAGCAAUGUGAUGUAGAAAUACCCUUUCUGCUGAUGGAGGCUUUGGUGAAUCCUUCCUAUCUGAAUGGGUGAUGGAGCAGUGAGUUCGAAAUGCCCUCAAACCAUUCAUUCGGUUGCGAGCAGUUUUUCUUCUCCGGAGACGUUGGUGGUAGAUUUUGUUUCAACUGAGCAAAAGGAGAGGACUUUUAAAAGCAGAGAGGACGGGCGGAAGACAAUGUCCCCUUGACGUCUGCAUGAAUGAGCUCAUUUAUCCCCCCCAGCGUCCGGAAACCGUUCCUCCUGCCCCGACAGCUGCAGGCUCUGUUUGCUCAGGGCCAUGGCCAGCCCCACUGCUCCCUGCCCCGCAGAGCCCCAUGCGCAGCAUUGCACCGAGCAGCAGCCGCCGGCACGCCAAGGAGCGCUUCGCCCUGUUUGGGUGAAACGCUGUGGACUGCCGGCCAAGGCUUGGAUUCCUUCCCCAGAAUGGCGUUUCCGUCAUUUAUUUCAACUAUUUCAGUUCUUCUCCUAGCGCCAGGACCCGCUGCCAACUGCUGUUCGAUGGCUAUUUAAUUAAUAUGUGUG
ensembl:lncRNA